AUUGAACGCUGGCGGCAUGCUUUACACAUGCAAGUCGAACGGUAACAGGCCGUAAGGUGCUGACGAGUGGCGAACGGGUGAGUAAUGCAUCGGAACGUGCCCAGUCGUGGGGGAUAACGCAGCGAAAGCUGCGCUAAUACCGCAUACGAUCUAUGGAUGAAAGCGGGGGACCGUAAGGCCUCGCGCGAUUGGAGCGGCCGAUGUCAGAUUAGGUAGUGGGUGAGGUAAAGGCCCACCAAGCCAACGAUCUGUAGCUGGUCUGGGAGGACGACCAGCCACAGUGGGACUGAGAAACGGCCCAGACUCCUACGGGAGGCAGCAGUGGGGAAUUUUGGACAAUGGGCGCAAGCCUGAUCCAGCAAUGCCGCGUGCAGGAAGAAGGCCUUCGGGUUGUAAACUGCUUUUGUACGGAACGAAACGGUCCUGGUUAAUACCUGGGGCUAAUGACGGUACCGUAAGAAUAAGCACCGGCUAACUACGUGCCAGCCGCCGCCGUAACAC
rnacentral:rRNA from 1 species